GGUCAAGCUACUAAGGGUAGGCGGUGGAUGCCUUGGCACCAGCAGGCGAUGAAGGGCGUGGUAAGCUGCGAUAAGCCUCGGGGAGCCGCACGCAGGCGUUGAUCCGGGGAUUCCCGAAUGGGGCAACCCGAUGCCGUUUAUGCGGCAUCAUCCCGGCCUGAAUCGAUAGGGUCGGGAGGCGAACCGGGGGAACUGAAACAUCUCAGUAUCCCGAGGAAGAGAAAUCAACCGAGAUUCCCCCAGUAGCGGCGAGCGAAAAGGGAAUAGCCCAAACCGUUCCGAUGCUAAAGGCCGUAUCCGUUGUCGGAGCGGGGUCGUGGGGUCUUGCCGGGGUCCGGUACGGCGGAUCCAGGGAGUGACAAACCUUUCUCCUAACUGAACAGCCUGGAAAGGCUGGCCGCAGAGGGUGAUAGCCCCGUAGGCGAAAGGAGGAAGGCUCCCCGGGCAGGAUUUCCAAGUACCACGGGACCCGAGAAAUCCUGUGGGAAUUCGGGGGGACCACCCUCCAAGGCUAAAUACUCGCUGGUGACCGAUAGUGAACCAGUACCGCGAGGGAAAGGUGAAAAGAACCCCUGUGAGGGGAGUGAAAUAGAACCUGAAACCGCCUACCUACAAGCAGUCGGAGGGCUAUGCUCCGGUGGCAACACCGGAGAACGCCUGACGGCGUGCCUUUUGUAUAAUGAGCCGGCGAGUUACUCUGUGCGGCGAGGUUAAGCCGUAAGGUGGAGCCGUAGCGAAAGCGAGUCCGAAUAGGGCGUACAGUCGUACGGAGUAGACCCGAAUCCAGGUGAGCUACCCUUGGCCAGGCUGAAACGUGGGUAAAACCACAUGGAGGGCCGAACCGGUGUUGGUUGAAAACAGCUCGGAUGAGCUGAGGGUAGGAGUGAAAGGCCUAUCAAACCUGGUGAUAGCUGGUUCUCCCCGAAAUAGCUUUAGGGCUAGCCUCGUACGGUCAGUGGUGGUGGUAGAGCACUGGAUGGAUUAGGGCCCUUACCCGGGUGCCAACCCCAACCAAACUCCGAAUGCCAUCAACUGCAGUGCGGGAGUCAGACUACGAGCGAUAAGGUCCGUGGUCGAGAGGGAAACAGCCCAGACCGCCAGCUAAGGCCCCGAAAUAGAGGCUAAGUGGGAAAGGAUGUGUGGUCGCAGAGACAGCCAGGAGGUUGGCUUAGAGGCAGCCACCCUUUAAAGAGUGCGUAACAGCUCACUGGUCGAGUGGCCGCGCGCCGAAAAUGUAACGGGGCUCAAGCCUCUUGCCGAAGCUGCGGAUUCGUCCCGAUUCGUCGGGAUGAGUGGUAGGGGAGCGUUCCGCACCGAGCGAAGGUGGACCGUAAGGACCGCUGGACGGUGCGGAAGUGAUUAUGCCGGCCCGAGUAGCGAUAAGGCAGGUGAGAAUCCUGCCCGCCGAAAGCCUAAGGUUUCCUGAGGAAGGGUCGUCCGCUCAGGGUUAGUCGGGUCCUAAGCCGAGGCCGAAAGGCGUAGGUGAUGGACAACGGGUUAAUAUUCCCGUACCACCUGGCGGCGCUUAAGUCCCGAUGGGGGGACGCAGGAGGGUAAGCCAGCCCGCGAUCGGAAGUGCGGGUCCAAGCCAUUAGGGGGGCUCCGUAGGCAAAUCCGCGGGGCCGCUACCCCCGAGAGGUGAUGGGUACCUCCUCCGCGAGGAGGGGGGAACUGGUCUAACCACGCUGCCAAGAAAAACCCCUAGGGAGUCGUCGUCCGGUGCCCGUACCGUAAACCGACACAGGUAGGCAGGGAGAAUAUCCCAAGGCGCGCGAGAGAACACUCGCUAAGGAACUCGGCAAAAUGGCCCCGUAACUUCGGGAGAAGGGGUGCCAUGCUCCGGUGAGCGGACUUGCUUCGCGAGCCGGAGAAGGCCGCAGUGAAAAGGGCCAAGCGACUGUUUACUAAAAACACAGGUCUCUGCGAAGUCGCAAGACGACGUAUAGGGACUGACGCCUGCCCGGUGCCGGAAGGUUAACAGGAAGGGUCAUCUCGAGCAAUCGGGAGAAGCUCUGAAUCGAAGCCCCGGUAAACGGCGGCCGUAACUAUAACGGUCCUAAGGUAGCGAAAUUCCUUGUCGGGUAAGUUCCGACCUGCACGAAUGGCGUAACGACUUGGCCGCUGUCUCAGCGAGUGGCUCGGUGAAACUGUAGUACCGGUGAAGAUGCCGGUUACCCGCGGCUAGACGGAAAGACCCCGUGGACCUUCACUGUAGCCUGGCAUUGAAUCUUGGUGUGGUAUGUGUAGGAUAGGUGGGAGGCUUUGAAGCGGGGGCGCCAGCUCUCGUGGAGCCAACCUUGAAAUACCACCCUUACGAUACUCGGAUUCUAACCAAGGCCCGUCAUCCGGGUCAGGGACCAUGCCAGGUGGGCAGUUUGACUGGGGCGGUCGCCUCCUAAAAGGUAACGGAGGCGCCCAAAGGUCCCCUCAGCACGGUCGGUAAUCGUGCGGCGAGUGUAAAGGCACAAGGGGGCUUGACUGCGAGACCUACAAGUCAAGCAGGUGCGAAAGCAGGGCUUAGUGAUCCGGCGGUUCCGUGUGGAAGGGCCGUCGCUCAACGGAUAAAAGGUACCCCGGGGAUAACAGGCUUAUCUCCCCCAAGAGUCCACAUCGACGGGGAGGUUUGGCACCUCGAUGUCGGCUCAUCGCAUCCUGGGGCUGAAGCAGGUCCCAAGGGUUGGGCUGUUCGCCCAUUAAAGCGGUACGUGAGCUGGGUUUAGAACGUCGUGAGACAGUUCGGUCCCUAUCUGCCGUGGGCGCAGGAGACUUGCGAGGAGCUGUCCCUAGUACGAGAGGACCGGGACGGACGAACCUCUAGUGUACCAGUUGUCCCGCCAGGGGCAUCGCUGGGUAGCUAUGUUCGGACGGGAUAACCGCUGAAAGCAUCUAAGCGGGAAGCCCACCUCAAGAUGAGGUCUCCCGUGGCGCAAGCCACCUAAAGGCCCCUCGAAGAUCACGAGGUUGAUAGGCCGGAGGUGUAAGCCCAGGAAUGGGUUGAGCUUACCGGUACUAAUCGGCCGUGCGGCUUGACCAU
rfam:Candidate division NC10 bacterium CSP1-5 XT15_C0002, whole genome shotgun sequence.